UGAUGGUCCCCAUGAACCAUUUAUUGCAGUUAAGACAUACCUUUUCAGCAAAAAUGCAGGGGUCCAGCUGACAACAGGAGCCCAUGGCAUUGCAGCUGCAAAACUGCGUGUGUCCAAGAAUGUAUUUGAUAGUAUCAAUGAUCUCACUCGUCUUGGACGAUGCUGUGCAAAAAGUUGUGCUAAGAAACCACCAAGAGAUGUG
rnacentral:misc_RNA from 1 species